UAUUUUUGUGUUUUAUCAGAAGCUAACAGGCUUUUCAUCUCAGACUAUUCACUUUUGGAUAAGAAAUGGAUUUAUUUGGUGAUCUUCCGGAACCUACAAAUGAUCCAGGUGGGUUAAUUCUCACCAGUAAUAUAAUAAUAUAUUGCAUGUGUAAUAGGUGUUAGAAUUAGUGAUUUAUAUUUUAAUUUUACGUUAAGUUGUGCAGUUAAAUGUGGAUACAGUGCAUGGCAUGCUGCACGAGCCUGGCUUCAAUAUUACCAACACAAAAAAAUUCUAUAAAAAUAAACAAUAUUGUGCCUAAUUUAAUAACUAACGUGUUAAAUGAACGUGAUUAUAUUAUAUAUGCAUGCAUACAUAGCCUAUUCGCUCGUUUUGAGAAUAUGUAUACUGCAGAAUGCGUUGAAUGUUUAUAUGUGAAUGCAUGGAAAUCUGUCUGUGUUUCAAAUCCUAGUGAUCCUACUUCACAAGUGUGCCUCAAAAAUGCUGUCUUGGUCCUGUUAAAGCCAAGCAGCUGGAAGAGGGCACAGAGGAGGAUCGAGGAGAGAAGAGGAAGAGAGACGUCAGCUCGGAGGAGACAGAGGUGGAAGACAAGAAACAAGAGGAAAAGAAAGUUUGUAAAGCAGAUCUUGCGAAGCUGACAGGCUUUGUCUCAGCGAGACGCGGUGAACGAGAGGAGAUGCAAGAUGCUCACGUCCUGCUUCCAGAUCUGACAUCCAGCAUCACCAACCUCCCCUCGCAAGUUUCUCGUCUUGCGUACUUCGCUGUGUUUGAUGGUCACGGUGGAGCUCGAGCGUCGCAGUUUGCUGCCGAGAAUCUCCAUCAGACGCUGCUCAGCAAAUUUCCUAAAGGUGAUGUGGAAAAUUUGGAGAAGCUGGUGAGGAAGUGUCUGUUGGACACCUUUCAUCAGACUGAUGAGGAUUUCCUGAAGAAAGCCUCCAGCCAGAAACCUGCGUGGAAGGACGGCUCGACGGCCACAUGUAUGCUGGUGGUUGAUGAUGUUCUUUAUGUGGCAAACCUGGGAGACAGUAGAGCAGUGCUCUGUCGUUUGGAGCAGGCUGAGGAUUCUGGGAAAAGGAAGUGUGUGACUCUGGCUCUCAGUAAGGAGCACAACCCCACCAUAUAUGAGGAGCGCAUGAGGAUUCAGAGAGCGGGUGGCUCGGUCACGCAAAUGCAAAUCUAAAAAACAAAAUAACAAUUCAGAAAACACAAGGACAAUGAAAUGAGAUACAGCCCUCUGCUUGCAGCACGUCAGUCACGCUCGUCAGGAAAGUGAGUGAAACCAAAGACUAUAGAAUACCCUUAAAUUUGUUAUUUACUUGUUAUUUCUUAAAGGGACUUUGGUGAAACACAAAAACACAAUUUUUUUUUAAUCAAAUAAUACGUCAUUAAUAGCGGUUCACUUCCGUGAUUUGGUACGAUUGCUUUCACAUCAGCAGCGAACCGUACCAGAGUUCACAUGAACCGUACACAGCGUAAGACAGCGUUCAUCAUCCAAACGAACCGAACUCUGACGUCAAUCGAACCCGGGUGCGCACCAAAAGUGCUAGUGUGAAAGCACCCUUAAAGGCAGACAUCCCACCUCUCCCGGAAGCUCCGGGAGUCUACCGCAUAAUAGUGGCUCCCUGACACCCGCAAAUUAGAUACAAUAUCCAGGAAAUCGUGGAGGCAAAUGAGAGAACGAGCAAGAGGAAAGAGCACCACUUAAGCGAGAGAGAGACACAUGUAGUGAUAUAUAAUCAUAACCGUAGCCAGCUAUGAGAUCACCAUAUGAGUGUCUGCAUGUAUAAUUCAGUUUAGACAGUUUGCAAGAAUGUUUAGCGUCCGUGGUAUGAAAACCAGAUCCAGCGAUUAUAGGCAUUUUUGGAUUUGUCUUUUCCACUUGAUUUGACACUUUAGAAAGUUAAUAGAGUGGGAAGUUGCAAUUUAGGGUCAGCGAUAGGGAUGUAACGAUUCACUCAACUCACGAUUCGAUUCACGAUUUUUUUUUAACAAAAUUAGAUUUAAGACAUAUAAAUGAAAUGUGUCCUUUUAUUAUUGCUUGGACAAAAUGCUGCACGUUUCUUUGUGAAAUUGAAAUAUAACACUAAUAAUAUACUAAUAUAGCACUUGCGUAUCAUUGCUCUUUUGUUGGUUUUGAUUGCUUCUGUUGUCCUCAUUUGUUGGUCGCUUUGGAUAAAAGCGUCUGCUAAAUAACAAAAUUUAAAUAUAAUGUAAAUGUAAAUUUUAAAACAAGCCCCAAAUCAAAUAAAUAAGUAACACAAAUAAAAGAAAUCUCUUAA
ensembl:lncRNA